rnacentral:tRNA from 1 species
CAAAGAAUAGUUUAUUAAAAUAAUAAUUUUGGAGAUUAUAGAUAAGGUUUAUACUUUUUCUUUGA